rnacentral:lncRNA from 1 species
UAAGCUUUAUCUCGUCUCCUUAGUCCUGAUGAUGGAUAAGAGAUGCAAUUUAUCUAAAGUUUUGAGGUUACCUAGUAAUGAGUUUCCUGCUAUCAAUCACUGAGUUUUGGCUGUUGUUAAAAAUUGUUUGCUUUUCUUUUACAUGUGAAACAGGUUUCUUUGGGACUAUCUUCAAUUCGAAAGGGGCCUUAUUAUUUAUGAGCCUAUCGACCUUAUCGUUGUGUGUUUGUUAUGGCUUUCUUGAGCUAUGUUUCUUAGACUUAUUGUUUAUGAGCCUGUCGACCUUAUCGUUGUGUGUUUGUUAUGGCUUUCUUGAGCUAUGUUUAUUCAUAGUGGAAUUUAAAUUGCUACACUUAAUGUCAGAACCCAGUCAUUCUUGUAAACAUUAAGAAGAUUAAGUACUAAGCUGUAGAGUCUAGAGAAGUAUUUAGGUACCAUAUAGAUGCAGGAGCUAUUUAAACGCUUUUACAUUGGCAUGUUUUAUCAUUUCCUUACAGAUCAGGCGAUAGGUAAUAUAUUACUAGACUAUGCCUUAGAGUUGUAAAUUAUCUAGAUUGCUCUGUAAUUUUCAAUAGAGUUAUAAGAAAACAGACGAUUUUCUCCAUUAACCAAGUAGAUUAAUUACCUUCAGUUUUAACCCUAUGGGGUGU